CAGAGCCGCGGUAAUACGUAGGGUGCAAGCGUUAAUCGGAAUUACUGGGCGUAAAGCGUGCGCAGGCGGUUCGGAAAGAAAGAUGUGAAAUCCCAGGGCUCAACCUUGGAACUGCAUUUUUAACUACCGGUCUAGAGUAUGUCAGAGGGAGGUGGAAUUCCACGUGUAGCAGUGAAAUGCGUAGAUAUGUGGAGGAACACCGAUAGCGAAGGCAGCCUCCUGGGAUAAUACUGACGCUCAUGCACGAAAGCGUGGGGAGCAAACAGGAUUAGAUACCCCUGUAGUCCCUGUCUCUUAUACA
rnacentral:rRNA from 1 species